UCGGACGUGGUGCGCGGUGCACGCCCGCUGUAAAUGCUGCCAACUUCGUAAACUUCGCUAAGCGGGAAGCCUGGGUUCGACUCCCAGCGACCGAG